rnacentral:ncRNA from 1 species
UGAUUGGUGUUUGUAACUUAAUAGGGAAUUAGGUUGAGCCUAAGCUACCCCAGUAACCGUAAUACAGACGAAAUCCUGAUAAAGCCACUGCAGAUUUUGCGGGAAGGCAUGGAAAGUAGAAUGAUGUAGAGCCGGGAGACCUGCCAUUUAUAUUA